GUCAGGCUGCUUGCAGAUAUGGACCCUUUCCUCUGCUGCCUUAUUGCCACUUACAUUAAAUACAGUAUAUGAUAAGAGUUUAUUAAUACUGUAGUCAACAUCCAUGCAAGCAUAUACAAGGGCCCCCAUGCAGAACAAGGUUGAAAACAAAGGCUGUAAGAAGAAGGAGAUGAUUGGGGCAGAAGUUAAGAAGGAAAUCAUUGAGAAGCAUGAAUGAGGUAUGCAAGUGGCCGAAAUUGCAAGAUUUUGUAAGCAGUCUGUGUCGAUCAUUUGCACAAUAUUAAAGAAGAAAGAAGAAAUUAGGAGCCUAGAUGCAAUAAAAGGAGUCAUGAGAAUCUGAAACCAAUGGCCACUUGUUCUGAAAGAUGUAGAAAAGUUGCUUCUGGUGUGGAUAAGUGAGAAGCAUGUAGCAGGUGAUACUGUGACUGAGAACUUUGUCUGCAAGAAGGCAAAGGCCUUGUACACUGACCUCAUAAGUAAACCUCCGGGUACAUCAACAGAAAACGAAGAAGGUUUCAAGGUGAACAGGGGUCUCCGUCACACCAGCCAUGAAGGUUUUCAAAGGUCAUAAUAAAAAUUCAGCUACUGGGGCGCCUGGGUGGUGCAGUCGGUUAAGCGUCGGACUUCAGCCAGGUCAUGAUCUCGCGGUCCGUGAGUUCAAGCCCCGCGUCGGGCUCUGGGCUGAUGGCUCAGAGCCUGGAGCCUGUUUCCGAUUCUGUGUCUCCCUCUCUCUCUGCCCCUCCCCCGUUCAUGCUCUGUCUCUCUCUGUCCCAAAAAUAAAUAAACGUUGAAAAAAAAAAUUAAAAAAAAAAUUCAGCUACUAUCCUAUACAGAAGAUUGGCAAAGAUAAGAUUUCAUUAUUAUUUUCUUGUCACUAAACAGAAGCUUUUUCCUUCCAAAAUGAACUCUGGUAUUGCCAAUCUAUAUUUGGGUAAUUUUGUCAGUCCAGUAUUUUACCUGUUAUAGAAACUAAAAGGGAUACUUCUCACUUGUAUUUUAAUAGGUCACCUUUUAAAGUGAUCACAUCAUUUUUUUUCUUCUGAAGCAUUCUCUGGUGAUGUUUCACUGCUUAUAACACUUAACAUCUCCGUUUCUUUGUUCUUGCCUUCUUGCUUCAUAUGGCUGGAGUGUGACAACCCUAGAUCCAAAAGCUAAUUUCUGCAAAAAGUACUUACUUUGUAUGUUUGGUAAUUUAAAGCUUAAUUUCUUCAUGAACAUUUAUUGAGCACUUAUUAUAUGCAGUGUACUUUCAACGUCUCUUACCUCAUUUUAUUUUUCAACAUACUUAUCCACAAAAUGAUAGACACAUUUCUUCUUAAAUGUUUAAAUUCUUACUGUUGCUUAAAUGGCAGGUCAUAAAGACUUAAUAGAAGGUCUGAGAUGAAAAGUAUAAUAAGUACAAAGACAACAGUUAUUUUUGAUGCUUCCUGUUUUGAAAUUUCCUAGAGGCUGUCGCUGCAUUCAGUAAUUUUUUUCUACUAGAAUGUCUCUCAGAUUUACUUCAUUCUCAGUUCUUUCUAGGAAGACCAAAGUCCAGACUUCUAUCCCUUCAUGUUUGGAAUACUACGCAGUUCUUUAACUAAUUACCCUCCCCCGUGCCUUCCUUCUCUAAUCCAUCCUUCCCCUGCAAUCAUCUUUCUGAAAUGCCACUAUUGUUAUGUCACUCUUCUGCUCUGAAAACUCCUAUGCUCUAUUAUUGCCUUCUAGACGAAAAUGAAAUUCUCCUGCCUGGCGGGAGGUCACCCAUAAUUUUGUGCCAUACUGCUAGUGAAGCUUUAUUUCCUACUUUUU
ensembl:lncRNA